rnacentral:lncRNA from 10 species
UCAUCCUGUAUAAAUGAAUAAUAGUUUAAUUUAAAUAAGCCAAUGUUGUUUGGAGGUCGUUUAUCACUUCACAGCUCUCAUUCACAGUCAAGUCAUGUGGAACUACACAACUUCCUUUUUGUGCAUUGGAGCUGGAAAUCUCGUUGAGUUUGGGAGGCCUUACUUCUGCAUAUUUGAAUCUGGUGACCAAAUUAAACAUUGUUCUAACUGCAGUUACCAUCCUCAAAUACAAAAGUAAUUGAUACUCAGCAAUGAAAGCUGCAUGUGCAUGUAGGGGAGAGAAGGAGGUUUCACCAGACUGACAAAUGGAGUCAUGGUUCUGGGAAGGAGCAGGGUGUUGGGUGCACAUUUGUCACCUGGGAAUACUACCAGCAAGCCUCAUAUUUUUUCUGCAAUAAAUGCUGGAAAGGAAAAAGAAAUGCUGAAAAUGAUGAAGUAAUUCCAAUUCUGCUGAUAGAGACCUGGAAAUGCACUAGGGAAAAAUGACAAGAGUGUAACACACUGCUGCUGAUUAUGUCAUAAUGAUUAUUUUAUGCAGUUUGAAGAAGACUCACUGUUCUAAAGAACCAGCAUCCAUUUCCAGGAAAGAGCAGGGAUUCUCCAUCCAUACCUCCAUGGGAUGAACCACAUUGAAAAUAAUGAUUUCCUUCUAAUAGCUUACUCUACAUUAUAUAAAGAAUUCCUUGGGAUUCUAAAAAAACCCUAAUAAUAUAGUAAUAAUAACAACAGAGGUUUGUUUUUGCUAUUUGUAGUCUAAUAUUCAGAUUGUGAGCAGCUGUUUUGGAAGGCAAGAUGAGUGAAUAGAUGUGAAGUCGUCUUAGAAAUGUCCAGGCUUCCAAAAGAAAUUUCACUUUUAAAAGAAAAUAGCCUAAUGUGAACCACAUUAGAAUCAGCACAUCUAAUCCUACGGAGAAAAAGUGACCAUGGCUGUCUACACAUAUAGGCAGGUCAUUCAAGCUCAUUCAAAAAUUCCACUUUCACUGGUGGUCUGUCUGUGUCCACAUGGUGACAAAUGGCCCCGGCAGGGUUUUUGAGGUGUUGGCACCACCAGUGAGUGCCAGAUGGAAUGUGGUGAAAGUUCUGAUUUGUACCUUUCAGACUAAAGGUACUUUCCAGAAUGGACGGGUCCUUCUGGCUGCCUUUUGUAAGUGCAGCCACAGGUAUUCUGUUGAAGCCUGUGGGUGAGAAAGACAUAAACAGGUGCUAUAAAUUUGUCAGACCAGGAAGCCACAGGCCGUUUAGUAAAUGGUAAACCCAAUGGCCCAAAAGAACAAAGGGGUCUCUUUUCAUCAGAAUGAUCAGGCUCAUUCAACAAAUAUUUAUUGAGCACCCACUUUCUGCCAGAUGGAAGAGCCACUGACAAGGCCUCUUAUUUAAAGAGUGCCUGAAGUGAGGAAGCAAACCCCCAAAUCAUCUGGGAUGGUAUGAACUGAACUCUGGACCGCAACAUGAUGGAAAGGAGGAGCUGGGGUCCCAAGGGCAGUCCAGACAACCUGAACCUGUGACACUCACCCUGCCCACACACUCUCAGAGCUGCAGCUUUCACGGGGGUGACAUGAAUGCUUGUAAAUGAGCUUGCUGAAUGGGAGACCAAGAACGAUGAUAUUGAGCUGUUACUACAUGCCAGACAUUUAACCCUUUCAUCCAGGUUAUCUCAAUCAUUCCUUACAGAAAGGCUUUUGAGAUGUCCUUGCAACUGGAGGUGCCAUAUGAUACAGUUCUGCCCAAAGACAAGAAAGUGAAUGUCUGUUGAGGGCUUCCUAUAAGGCCAAUACAUACAGGUGUUCCCAACAACAGGUGUUUUGAACUAGAUUACUGACUGGCCAUCUGUGGCAGGCCCACUCCUGGAUGUCAUGCCCCUGUUAAUGAAAUCUGGGCGUGCGCUCGUAAACAGACCUGGUGAAUGGUAGACGUCAGCCAUUGCGUGAUGGACAAUCAUCAAUCAUCCAUUGUCAGUUAUUUCUGUCCCAGUGAGUAAGCCUUUAUUUAAAGCAUUAAGUAAGAAUGUUGCCAGACCACAGGAACAAGCCCUGAGCUGUUUGCAGGUGCUGCUAUUCACAGCUGCCAAUUAAACCCCUGACAUUUCCAUAUUGGCCAUGAGGCACAGCAUAUGCUUUUGACAUACCAAUUCUUUAAAAAAAAAAAAAUCACCAAUCUCAGAUUAUCAAUACAUGCCUUUUUCUUUUUCCAUGGUUACUACAUGAA